rnacentral:rRNA from 1 species
ACGCUGGCGGCGUGCCUAACACAUGCAAGUCGAACGGAGAAUUUUAUUUCGGUAGAAUUCUUAGUGGCGAACGGGUGAGUAACGCGUAGGCAACCUACCCUUUAGACGGGGACAACAUUCCGAAAGGAGUGCUAAUACCGGAUGUGAUCAUCGUGCCGCAUGGCAGGAUGAAGAAAGAUGGCCUCUACAAGUAAGCUAUCGCUAAAGGAUGGGCCUGCGUCUGAUUAGCUAGUUGGUAGUGUAACGGACUACCAAGGCGAUGAUCAGUAGCCGGUCUGAGAGGAUGAACGGCCACAUUGGGACUGAGACACGGCCCAAACUCCUACGGGAGGCAGCAGUGGGGAAUCUUCCGCAAUGGACGAAAGUCUGACGGAGCAACGCCGCGUGAGUGAUGAAGGAUUUCGGUCUGUAAAGCUCUGUUGUUUAUGACGAACGUGCAGUGUGUGAACAAUGCAUUGCAAUGACGGUAGUAAACGAGGAAGCCACGGCUAACUACGUGCCAGCAGCCGCGGUAAUACGUAGGUGGCGAGCGUUGUCCGGAAUUAUUGGGCGUAAAGAGCAUGUAGGCGGCUUAAUAAGUCGAGCGUGAAAAUGCGGGGCUCAACCCCGUAUGGCGCUGGAAACUGUUAGGCUUGAGUGCAGGAGAGGAAAGGGGAAUUCCCAGUGUAGCGGUGAAAUGCGUAGAUAUUGGGAGGAACACCAGUGGCGAANGCGCCUUUCUGGACUGUGUCUGACGCUGANAUGCGAAAGCCAGGGUAGCGAACGGGAUUAGAUACCCCGGUAGUCCUGGCCGUAAACGAUGGGUACUANGUGUANGANGUAUCGACCCCUUCUGUGCCGGAGUUAACGCAAUAAGUACCCCGCCUGGGGAGUACGGCCGC